rnacentral:rRNA from 1 species
UACGAAGGGGGCUAGCGUUGCUCGGAAUCACUGGGCGUAAAGGGUGCGUAGGCGGGUCUUUAAGUCAGGGGUGAAAUCCUGGAGCUCAACUCCAGAACUGCCUUUGAUACUGAGGAUCUUCAGUUCGGGAGAGGUGAGUGGAACUGCGAGUGUAGAGGUGAAAUUCGUAGAUAUUCGCAAGAACACCAGUGGCGAAGGCGGCUCACUGGCCCGAUACUGACGCUGAGGCACGAAAGCGUGGGGAGCAAACAGG